UACGAGUGGAGCGAGCGUUGUUCGGAAUCACUGGGCGUAAAGCGUGCGCAGGCGGUCAUGUAAGUCGGGAGUGAAAUCCCAGGGCUUAACCCUGGAAUUGCUCUCGAAACUGCGUGACUCGAAUCCCGGAGAGGUUGGCGGAAUUCUCAGUGUAGAGGUGAAAUUCGCAGAUAUUGAGAGGAACACCAGUGGCGUAAGCGGCCAACUGGACGGGUAUUGACGCUCAGGCACGAAAGCGUGGGGAUCAAACAGGAUUAGAUACCCUAGUAGUCC
rnacentral:rRNA from 1 species